rnacentral:lncRNA from 1 species
GUUAUUCUCCAUAUGGCUGAGUUGACUGUUCAGCUACUGUAGGUUAUUCUCCAUAUGGCUGAGUUGACUGUUCAGCUACUGUAGGUUAUUCUCCAUAUGGCUGAGUUGACUGUUCAGCUACAUGCUACUGUAGGUUAUUCUCCAUACGGCUGAGUUGACUGUUCAGCUACUGUAGGUUAUUCUCCAUAUGGCUGAGUUGACUGUUCAGCUACUGUAGGUUAUUCUCCAUACGGCUGAGUUGACUGUUCAGCUACAUGCAACUGUAGUUUACUCUCCACAAUGGCUGAGCUGACUGUUCAGCUACUGUAGUUUACUCUCCUAUAUGGCUGAGUUGACUGUUCAGCUACAUGCUACUGUAGGUUACUCUCCCAUAUGGCUGAGUUGACUGUUCAGCUACAUGCUACUGUAGGUUAUUCUCCAUAUGGCUGAGCUGACUGUUCAGCUACUGUAGUUUACUCUCCCAUAUGGCUGAGUUGACUGUUCACCUACAUGCUACUGUAGGUUAUUCUCCCAUAUGGCUGAGUUGACUGUUCAGCUACUGUAGGUUAUUCUCCAUACGGCUGGGUUGACUGUUCAGCUACUGUAGGUUAUUCUCCAUACGGCUGAGUUGACUGUUCAGCUACAUGCUACUGUCGGUUAUUCUCCCAUAUGGCUGAGUUGACUGUUCAGCUACAUGCUACUGUAGGUUAUUCUCCCAUACGGCUGAGUUGACUGUUCAGCUACUGUAGGUUAUUCUCCAUAUGUCUGAGUUGACUGUUCAGCUACAUGCUACUGUAGGUUAUUCUCCAUAUGGCUGAGCUGACUGUUCAGCUACUGUAGGUAUUUCUCCAUAUGGCUGAGUUGACUGUUCAGAUACUGUAGGUUAUUCUCCAUAUGGCUGAGUUGACUGUUCAACUACUGUAGGUUAUUCUCCAUAUGGCUGGGUUGACUGUUCAGCUACUGUAGGUUAUUCUCCAUAUGGCUGAGUUGACUGUUCAGCUACAUGCUACUGUAGGUUAUACUCCAUAUGGCUGAGUUGACUGUUCAGCUACAUGCUACUGUAGGUUAUUCUCCCAUAUGGCUGAGUUGACUGUUCAGCUACAUGCUACUGUAGGUUAUUCUCCCAUAUGGCUGAGUUGACUGUUCAGCUACAUGCUACUGUAGGUUAUUGUCCCAUAUGUCUGAGAUGACUGUUCAGCUACAUGCUACUGUAGGUUAUUCUCCAUAUGGCUGAGCUGACUGUUCAGCUACUGUAGGUAUUUCUCCAUAUGGCUGAGUUGACUGUUCAGAUACUGUAGGUUAUUCUCCAUAUGGCUGAGUUGACUGUUCAACUACUGUAGGUUAUUCUCCAUAUGGCUGGGUUGACUGUUCAGCUACUGUAGGUUAUUCUCCAUAUGGCUGAGUUGACUGUUCAGCUACAUGCUACUGUAGGUUAUACACCAUAUGGCUGAGUUGACUGUUCAGCUACAUGCUACUGUAGGUUAUUCUCCAUAUGGCUGAGUUGACUGUUCGGCUACAUGCUACUGUAGGUUA